GAUGAACGCUGGCGGCGUGCCUAAUACAUGCAAGUCGAGCGAACAGACGAGGAGCUUGCUCCUCUGACGUUAGCGGCGGACGGGUGAGUAAAACGUGGAUAACCUACCUAUAAGACUUGGAUAACUUCGGGAAACCGGAGCUAAUACCGGAUAAUAUAUUGAACCGCAUGGUUCAAUAGUGAAAGACGGUUUUGCUGUCACUUAUAGAUGGAUCCGCGCCGCAUUAGCUAGUUGGUAAGGUAACGGCUUACCAAGGCAACGAUGCGUAGCCGACCUGAGAGGGUGAUCGGCCACACCGGAACUGAGACACGGUCCAGACUCCUACGGGAGGCAGCAGUAGGGAAUCUUCCGCAAUGGGCGAAAGCUUGACGGAGCAACGCCGCGUGAGUGAUGAAGGUCUUCGGAUCGUAAAACUCUGUUAUUAGGGAAGAACAAAUGUGUAAGUAACUAUGCACGUCUUGACGGUACCUAAUCAGAAAGCCACGGCUAACUACGUG
rnacentral:rRNA from 1 species